GACGAACGCUGGCGGCGUGCUUAACACAUGCAAGUCGAACGGAAAGGCCCUGCUUUUGUGGGGUGCUCGAGUGGCGAACGGGUGAGUAACACGUGAGUAACCUGCCCUUGACUUUGGGAUAACUUCAGGAAACUGGGGCUAAUACCGGAUAGGAGCUCCUGCUGCAUGGUGGGGGUUGGAAAGUUUCGGCGGUUGGGGAUGGACUCGCGGCUUAUCAGCUUGUUGGUGGGGUAGUGGCUUACCAAGGCUUUGACGGGUAGCCGGCCUGAGAGGGUGACCGGCAACAUUGGGACUGAGAGACGGCCCAGACUCCUACGGGAGGCACCAGUGGGGAAUAGUGCACACGGUGCGGAAGCUGGAUGCAGCAACGCCGCGUGCGGGAGGGGGGGCGUCGGGUGGUAAACCGAGUUCGCCUGUGACCAAGCGGAAGGGACGGUAAUGGAUAAAGAAGCACCGGCUAACGACU
rnacentral:rRNA from 1 species